AGCGACUUGGUGGGCGCGUCCAGUGAUGACUUGGGGAUCCGGGCAACUAACAUGACUAAAAAGAAGCGGGAGAAUCUGGGCGUCGCUCUAGAGAUCGAUGGACUAGAGGAGAAGCUGUCCCAGUGUCGGAAAGACCUGGAGGCCGUGAACUCCAGGCUCCACAGCCAGGAGCUGAGCCCAGAGGCCAGGAGGUCCCUGGAGAAGGAGAAAAACAGCCUAAUGAGCAAAGCCUCCAACUACGAGAAGGAACUGAAGUUUCUUCAGCAAGAGAACCGGAAGAACAUGCUGCUCUCUGUGGCCAUCUUCAUCCUCCUGACCCUCGUCUAUGCCUACUGGACUAUGUGAGCCUGGCACUUUCCCACAACCAGCACAGGCUUCCACUUGGCCCCUUGAUCAGGACCAAGCAGGCACUUCAAGCCUCAAUAGGACCAAGAAGAACUUCUUCUUGAAGCUUUUGCUGAAUCCCAUAGUCCAGGGCUCUGACGGGAGGAAGAGGGGAUGAAGCCCAGAAGGGGACACAAAGCACUUGUGGAGGACAGGUGCGUGCCUUCCUCCACUCCUGGUGGCCUCCCCGCAAAAGCAAGCAGGGAACAGCCCGUGAGGCAGCAGCCUUCAU